UACGUAGGGGGCUAGCGUUGUCCGGAAUCAUUGGGCGUAAAGCGCGCGUAGGCGGCCCGGUAAGUCCGUUGUAAAAGUCAAAGGCUCAACCUUUGAAAGCCGAUGGAUACUGCCGGGCUAGAGUCCGGAAGAGGCGAGUGGAAUUCCUGGUGUAGCGGUGGAAUGCGCAGAUAUCAGGAGGAACACCAAUAGCGAAGGCAGCUCGCUGGGACGGUACUGACGCUAAGGCGCGAAAGCGUGGGGAGCGAACAGG
rnacentral:rRNA from 1 species